UGACGCCUUAAAUCCAAGGGUUGCCAUC
rnacentral:piRNA from 1 species